GGAAAAGCUCAAGGUGUGAAAUUCAGUGGAAAAGUUGCUCCAGCUGCAGAAGCACCUGCUAAAGCUGUAUGUAUCUCCCUCAGUUUUAAUUUUUCGUGUUACUUCAUAUGUUUAUUAUUUCUGUUAUGUGCUGUAUAGUUGUAUGGUUUAUCUAUUUGAUGUAUUUCUUAGAGUAAAACCGGGUACAUUUUUUUAGUAAUAUACAGUGGAAUCAUAAAAUCUGAAUUAUCUUACACAAUGAUUUUGAGAUUUUUAUAACUUUUAACAUAUUUUGAAAUCGGGAUCUGUUGAGACUCCACAUUUGAAUUUGUCUUAUGUCUAACUUCAUGAUCCCUUUAAACCUGUACUCUUUUCAUCUUAAGUGAAAAUAAGCAAGAAGCUAAUACAGACCUAGACAGCUAGUAAUUUAUUUUGAGAAUGUAGAACUUGAUAUCUUGAUUUUGUAACAAUAUCUAUAUGUCUGUGUAUGUAAUGUACAGUUACUGAAAGAUUACUAUUAAUUAGGAGAUUGAUGUUGAAGAAUCUGCAAACAUUCUAGAAUUGGACUACAUAAAAUCUUUGACUUUAUAUAGUUAUUAAGUUAUUGUCAAUUGUAAAUAUGGUUAAAAAAUGUUAAGCAGUUAUGCCAGCCAUGCCCAAAAGUGAAAAACAAUAAUUAUGAUUGCCAACUCUCUAGUGUUUUGUAUUCUCCUUUGUCAUAUUUUGAAUCUUUGAUUUUAUUUAUUGGUCUAAGAAUUUGUUUCGAAUAUAGUAUGCCUAGAAGACAUUUUGUAAUUUUCAUUAUCAAUACUACAAAGAAAUAAAUAAUCCACAAGAAAAAGGACAGUACUUCUCGUCUUUCAUAUUACUGUAUUUGAAACAUUAUUGCCAAAGUACUCUAUUUUUAUUUGAGAAGUUAAGUCAGUUUGUUUCAAACAUUUCCAACAAUUUUAUUAUUGAAAUUGCUUUUAGCCAAGAUAGCAACAUGGAUGGUUUUUUAGAGUAGUAUUAAGGACAACCAGUACUGUAGAGCUCCUUUCUUAAUGAGAUCAUUGCAUGUUUAUUAUAGGCAAUUAGGCAUCGUUUUAUCUUGUUUUUUGUAUUUUUUGAGGCUUAAGUUGUAUAAUACUAUAGUUUACUUUUGACAUGACAUACUAUAAGGAUGGAACAUAACUCAUCCUGUGUUUGUUGAACCUGAUAGUGAUGUUUACUAAGUGACAUAGUUGUUAGCUAAGUUAGUUACUAUGAAAGGAUAGUGCUUUUUUCUUGUAGAAAAAAUACUUCUAAAACUUUGACUUUAUAUUAUACACAUGCCCAAGUUGUUGUGAAGUUUAGGUUAUUGUUGUUACAGUUGUAUUGAAGUCACUGAAGGAUCUACUAACUAAUUUGAUCAUUGGAAUUUAUUUUUGUCAGGCUGCACCUGCUGCUGAAGAUGAUGAUGAUCUUGACCUCUUUGGUGAUGAAACAGAGGAGGAUAAGAAGGCAGCAGAGGAAAGGGAGGCAUCUAAAAAGCCCGCAAAGAAGAAAGAGAGUAAGCUCUCUUUCUAGUGGCUAUAAAUUUUUAUUAUUUUACAUUAAGCAUAAGCAUAGUUUUGAGAAAAGUGAUCAUUGAGUUGGUUUGAUCCUCUUAAUUUUUCAUGUUAUUUUGGUGAGGUUGGAAUAUUGUUA
rnacentral:lncRNA from 1 species